GACUCUCCUGGUCUCGCUGUUCAUGGCCUGCCCCGGUGGCGCCGCCAUGGUUAUUUACGGGUCGACCUCCUCCCCGCCAGCCGUGCGGUCGCCGUGGGUGCUCGAGAGGUCGGGGCGUGUUCUCGGUGCAUCAAAGAGUAGAAUAAUGCGUAUACGUUGCCGAAUUCCGAGAUGACGAGCUCGAAUUUCUGGUGCCCCAUUGGCUCCGACGGAAGGAAGGGGAUCGAUUGGCAGUGCCAAGGCCAAGAAGGAGGAGUUCUGAAGGAAAAGCCAUCUAGGAGUGCUUGCUGGGCAUGCUUUUGUCGCUGUCAUCUUGAAACAGAACACAAAAACACUUCAAGUAUCACUUUAGAAGCAGGCUGUAUGUUGGAAGGAAGGCGCUCAAUUUACGGAGGAGAUGGUACGGAUUAAGAGGGUCCAGUGUUCUUUUCAUGGUGUUAUGGAGUUUUGCAUUUUGGGUUGCUCACUGUGUGAUGAUGCCACCCGCUGUAAUCUUUACGUCGAGGUGGAUCUCUGGCUGGAUGUUUCCCUGCUGGUGUUAUGGAACCGUAUUGCUUGUUCCUCGAUCAUAGAAAGAAAAGGGAAUCUCUAUGUAUUAGCUGCACAUCUGAAAACUAAUAAAGACACAAGAUUGUUUGCUUGGUUAAUUAAGGAUGAUUUCCAAGCUUGGGAUCUACAGUCUUAUAAGUGGAAGUUAUCUU